GCGCAGGUGCUGGAACUGGUAGACAACUGGCGAUGAGAGCGCCAGGCCCGGCGGGCGUGAGGGUUCGAGUCCCUCUCUGCGCA
rnacentral:tRNA from 1 species